rnacentral:lncRNA from 1 species
AAAGGACGCACUUGAGUCAUCUUCUAUAUGAUUUCAAGAGGUGAACCUUCUAGGAAGUUUUACACUCCAUCCUCAUCCAUUCAUCCAUUUUGUCCUAAACCUUUUCACACAUUGCUUUCAAACUUGAGAUAGAUAUUGUGCAAACAUCUUCAUGUUUUCAAAUCAAAAACCUGGACCCAAGUCCUUGACUUUUCCAAGCUCCCUUUCAUAAUACUUCUUUGAAUCAAUCUUAAUCAUACUUUGACCCUGCUUUCAUGAACACUCAUAAUCAAUUAACUUCACCCAUUCAAUUGUUUUGGCUUUGUCCACUGUUAAUCUUUUCGCGCAUUAGCCAUAGGUUUCAAUUAUCAUUGUGGUUGAUGUAAACCUCACCCUAUCCUUAGUGAGUCGACUAUAAGACUUCCGUACUGAAAACAGGGUUAACCCCUCUAGUGCGUCGAAGCUAUCCUCGCAUGGUGGAUGUUGGUUUUGGUUGAGUUUUCUCCCAUUGAUAAUGAAAGACCUUAGGGCUUGUGUUUUUAAAAUGAACUCACAAACCUUUGGAAAUCUUUUAGCCGAACUACGGCGUUUUGAUCCUUACCUUUGAUGGAAGGUACGUAGGCAACGGG